rnacentral:rRNA from 1 species
GACGAACGCUGGCGGCGUGCUUAACACAUGCAAGUCGAACGAUGAAGCGGUGCUUGCACCGUGGAUUAGUGGCGAACGGGUGAGUAAUACGUAAGUGACCUACCUUUGACUCUGGGAUAAGCCUGGGAAACUGGGUCUAAUACCGGAUACGACCAAUCUCUGCAUGGGGUGUUGGUGGAAAGCGUUAUGGAGUGGUUUUAGAUGGGCUCACGGCCUAUCAGCUUGUUGGUGAGGUAAUGGCUUACCAAGGCGACGACGGGUAGCCGGCCUGAGAGGGUGACCGGCCACACUGGGACUGAGACACGGCCCAGACUCCUACGGGAGGCAGCAGUGGGGAAUAUUGCACAAUGGGCGCAAGCCUGAUGCAGCGACGCCGCGUGAGGGAUGACGGCCUUCGGGUUGUAAACCUCUGUUAGCAUCGAAGAAGCGAAAGUGACGGUAGGUGCAGAGAAAGCGCCGGCUAACUACGUG